CAAGUCCAAGAUUUUUCUUUUAUUUAUUUUUAUUUAUUUAUUUAUUUAUUUAUUAUUAUUAUUAUUAUUAUUAUUUAUUUUCAUUUUUCGUUUUUUUUUUCGAAACGCGUGGUCUUCGCCUAGCGAGCAUGACAGUUCAUGAACAAACUUUUGCUCCUUCAAGAUUAACGUUUUGACUGAUGAAUAGACCCCAUUUGAAC
rnacentral:lncRNA from 1 species